ACUAGUUUCUUAAUUAGGCUCAAUAAGGCAACUAAAUUAAUAAAAGAGAGCAACAGUGGGCAGCCCAAAUAAAUAAAAGGAAUUGGGCCCAAUCAAAUAACUAUGGCAGCCCACUUCUAAAAUCACCAGCCUAAUCAAUUUAAAUAUGCAGCCCACAUAACAAAAAUAAGGCUGGGCCCAAAAGAACCCCAGCCCAAAAGGGACGGCCCAUCAUCUUCUCUCUUCAACUCGUCUCUCUUUUUCCCAAAAUCAGAAAACUCGUUCCUAUGGCUCGUUCCAUCUUCCGUCAAGAAUUCCGCCGCCGCGCUUCUGAAAUUUGGCGAGGCCGGUGCCGAUCGUCGUUCCGCCUGAGUCCGACACUCCUCACACUUCUCUUUUCUUCUCUCAAUAUUAUGAAGAAACCCAAAAGAAAAACCCUAAUUUUUUCCCAAAAUCAGAAAUCGUCACCGCCGCGGUUCUCCGGCCGUCCCAGCCGCCGGCGAGCGGUUGCUCCGGAUUCUGGCGCUGCUCUGCUUCCUCGGACCCUCUUCUCACUCACGCGCUCACAAUCGAGGCAGAGGUCGAGUCCUAGUUCUCUCGGCUCAGGCAAAAUCACCGCCGCCGCCUCCGAACUUUCGGCUAGUGGUCGUCACCUCCCGCUCUCUCGUUAUUCCUCUCCCUCAACUCUCAAUAAUAGAUUCACCCUCACACAGAAAGAGAACAAAGGCCGAGCCCUAGCUCUUCCUUCUUCCGACACGGUUAACCACCGCCGCGCCUGAAAGGCGGAGCAGUCUCUCAUAGCUCUAUCGACCCGUGUUGCUUUUCAACACCAUCUCCGUUCUCGGCCCAAACCUCUCAAGUGCCAUCGGAGGAAGUCUCCUCCACCUUGACGAACAGGGCAGCCUGCCUCCGCCUGAUCUCGUCUACCUCAUAGACAAAGGUUCGGCCCUAACUCUUAGUAUAUAAUCGUGAAGAAGCAAGCCAUGAUUUCUAGUUUGGUGUCAAUCAGUUCUCAUACAUCUCUUGGUUCCUAUAUCGUCGAUUAUGAAAGGGAUUAACACUAACAUGUGGUUGCCUCUGUAUCAUAAGGUUCAUAAAGUUUCUUAAUGCCUUGUCUUAUGAAGAAAAUAUAUAAUAACUGAUUUCGUGA